UACAGAGGGGGCAAGCGUUAUUCGGAAUUACUGGGCGUAAAGCGUGCGCAGGCGGCUUUGCAAGACAGAUGUGAAAUCCCCGGGCUUAACCUGGGAACUGCAUUUGUGACUGCAUGGCUCGAGUGCGGCAGAGGGGGAUGGAAUUCCUGGUGUAGCAGUGAAAUGCGUAGAUAUCAGGAGGAAUACCGAUGGCGAAGGCAGGUCUCUGGGCUAUAACUGACGCUCAUGCACGAAAGCGUGGGGAGCAAACAGG
rnacentral:rRNA from 1 species